UAAGGGUGGAAAAGAUCACCUUUUGUCAAAAAAAAAAAAAAAGCUUAUCUUGUGUGGUAUCUAUAUAUGUGGUGGAACAUUUCUGCUUCAUUUCUUCACGAGCCUGUGCAGUGACUCUACAAACUGAAACACUGAUUAACGGGGAUCUAAAAUAGAUUAUCCUUUUUUUGCAGCUGAAAUUCAGCUUGGUUUCUCUUCCCAGCCUUGUUUCAUGACUAUCCUGUAUGCUGACACUGUUUUGUUGCUCCACUGCAACAUCAAAAAAAGGCUGCUUGACCUUCCCAGUUUCUCUUCCAGUUGGCUUGCUCCUCCUGCAAACUAAGAUGCUGCUUCUUUGACAAAAGUAGUCCUGCUGUGUUACAUAGCUGCUAUGUUCAGAGAGGAACCAUGACCUGCAUGAUGUCUAAGGCCAAAUGAUGUACACACUUUAGGCAUCCACACCUUUGUGUGGUGAAAGGCCGGAUUAAGAAGGUACGCUCUGAAUGUGCCAGCAACAUCCUGUCAAUGACAGAAUUGUAUUCAGAACAAAGCACCCUUCUUUGAAAAGAGAAAGUAACUCAAGUGCCCAUUUUAUUGUAUAAUAGUUAAGCGAUUAGAGCACUUCACCAAGGAGAGAGAGACUUCAGCUCAAUUCCUUCUUCAGCUUGACAAGAUUCAAAAGUACAUCUACAGCCUCCCAGGAAAUCGUUCAUCCUAUCUCCAUAAAACAGCCUGAACUGAAGCACUCUCCAUUCUGCCUGCUGAAGUAAGGCCACUAAAUAUGAAGUAGUGUCAGAUUUUUAGCACUGAAGGAAAACAAGAAAGAAAGAAAGAAGAAACUUAACUCGGCCUGGUGACAAUAGCAUUCUGCUGGAAAAUAAAUAAAUAAAUAAAUAAAUAAAUAAAACAGCUGUGGGGCUUGCUCCCAGUCCCACAUCGCUUUAUGUACUGCAUUUAAUGAUGACCUAAUGUAUAGGAUAUCUCUUGGAGAACUGGGAAAAAGAAAGGUGGACUGAGCUGGCAAUCUUAUUUAGCAAUUGGGAUGGGCUAAAAGCAGUGAAAAAAUGGGCUAGCGUAAGUAAUUUAACAGGCUGUGACUGCUUAAAAUUUGUUAACUUGAUCAACUGCUAUCUUACGAGUGUGUUAAAUAUGUUAUCAAUUACUGUAACAAAAUUAAAAGUAGAAUUUAAAAUUUGAUUCUUCUGUAGGUAUUACCACUUGUUGCAGUAGGAAACAAAUUGCCAAAUAGGCCAACUGUGUGAGUUAUGAUACUCAGUGUGGUUAAUUACUGCAAACAGUUUUUCCAAUUUACUAUUCAGGUUCUGAAUUGCUCAUAUGGCACCAUGCUUAGGCUGUUCAGGAGCUCUUACUCAUCUAUGCAGGAAGGAGACUGUGUUAUUCAUUCCUCACUAUUCACUCUUACCCAUUUCUUUUGUUUGUUUGUUUGUUUGCUUUAAACAUGUCUGAUGACAACAGAGAAAACAGAAAAAGAGGUUGUGGGAUUUAAGUAACUACCUGGGUUCCACAAUCAAUUCACAAGCAAGCCAAACAAGGCUUGGGUGAGUACAGGCUGAAGACUGCUCAUCCAUUCUAUCAGACAAGAACUUAGUUCCAAAAAUUUCAGAAGAAAAUUGAUCAGUUCACAAACUAUUUGUAGAUGAGAAAAAUGGAACUGCUUUCAUCAGAUACAAUCAUUCACAAUUAAUAAUGUGAUGUUAUUUUUAGUACUCUGAAAACAGAAGUUUCCUUUAAAUGCCAAAAACCUACUACGUGUUUUGAUUACUACUGACAUAAUCAUCCUCUCUCUAAAAAGGCGUAUCUUUCCUGUUGGGAUUAUGCCAUCUUGUCUUGUGCCAUCACUAAUUAUUAACAAUGAAGAGAGAGGAAAAACAAUAAAAUUCACACUCUUCCCACAGUAAAAGCAAAUAAACGUUAAAAUGUGGAGACUGUUAUGAGACAAAUUUUACUCCCAGAAAGUGAUAUCCUCAAAUCCUGACACAGAGAGCUGGCAUGGAGGUUAUUGAGACUAUUUUUGUUACUGACAGAGCAACAAAAGACAUGGAAGAUAUGACAAUCAAAACCAAAAAGUAAUGCACAGCUCCCAGAAAACCACAGGAAAUACCUCCGGAGUACAUCUAGUGAGGUAAAAGCCACAAAAUCUGAAGGGAACAAAUGGCAUAACCUUUCUAUGACAACAAUGCAAAUCUGCCUGUGCACAGCAUUGUUUACUUUUACACACUGUAUACAGCCCAACUGGUUUCAGACAUUUGCCUGUGCCUCUAGAACAAAGAAAGGUUUUUAUGCAACAAUUUUAUGUUAUAUGUAAAGGAGGAAUUCACAUGCACUGGCUUUUUUGCUCAGGAGUUGAUCUAUUUUACUUCACCUGCACAACAGUUCCAGCACUUCUGACAUGAAAGACCACUGCCUGACAUGCAUAUGUAACCACAAAAGUUUAAUGUCAAAAGUACAGGUUGGAUACCAUUUAGGCAGGUCAAUCAGGCUUAGUCAGUAGCAUCUGUAAAAAGAUAAGAUAUUUACAAGGAGACUUACUUGUAAAGAUAACAGAAGAUCAAUCAAAAUCUGAUAAUAGUGAUGUUCUUGUGCUCAGAUAUUAUAAUAAUGAGCACUUUAUGCAGUAGGUUUGAUACAUUCUAAAGCUAUCUACUGAAGUGAGCCACCCAACAGGUAUUUUCCAAUUAUGAGAUUAAAAGGUUCUAAGAUUUUUUUGAAAGUCCAUGGCAGAGUUUAUCAGAGAAACCAUCUGGUUCCAGCACCAAAAAUAACUCUUUUGAUCAUAGCAUCCUUUCAUGAUUAGUCAUGACUGAAAACUAACCUUCCAUCUUCUCACACAGCACACAGGCAUGCUAUUAACAAUUUGUUUCACUGUGGAUUGAGUUUAUUAAAAAUGUCUGUAGUUCCAGACAUUACUAUUAUAAGCCCUAUUUUAAUAAGCCAUAUUAUUAUACACUGGAUUUCUGCAUUUCAAAAGCUUUCCAAGCAAGAUUUUGUUCUUGAAGGGACAAAAAAAAUAAUAUCACCAUUUUCAAAAAAUAAGAAAAUGAGAUAUCAUUUUUAGUCUUAUUUUAAUAGUUUGCAUUUCAACAGUUAAGCAAGAUAUAUCAUUGAAAAAAAAAAAAUCCUCUGUGGAAUUACCAGUCUUCGAUUAUGUGAAUUUUUAUGUCUUCCAACAGGACAACUAUUGUCCAUAUGUCUAUGUAAUACAUACUUCUAGUGCUCAGAGAACUUUAAUAUGCAUGUAUGUUACCAAUGACAGAAGCUCUUUGCAAAUGCACUGAAUUUAUUAGGAUAGUCUGGGCAACAUAAGCCCUUUUCACAAACAAGGACCAGAACUUGCUACCUUCAACCUAGCAACACAAAAAAAGAUAAUUCAGACAUGAUAUACUCUUUGCCAUUUUCCGUGAAGGCAACGCCACCACACACAUAUGUUCAUUGAAAUACACACCUAGACACCACUUGAGAGUGAAAUAAGAAGAAAAAGCAUUCGAGUAAUAAGCACCAGAUGAACUGAAGAAAUAAUAAAAAUGCUUGUGUUAAAUGGGAUAGUGCAAUACAUGAAUGAUAUUUUCAAAAAUGAAUUAUUUGUUAUGAUUUACAGAAUGUCUGCACAGAAAUUGCUUUUAUGACGUUGUAAGAACUGUUUGAAGUUUGUAGGGGUCUUUAUUGCUUGACAUCCUGGUUUCUACGUUGCCUAUUGAUGACACCCACAGUAGCAGACUAGAGGUUAAUAAAGCAUUGGAAGAGAAAA